rnacentral:piRNA from 1 species
UCNGAUGUCAAGAACACAGGGCCUUGCUGC